GUUUACAAAUAUCAAUCGAAACGCGCUGCUAUUUUUCAUAAAUGAAAAGUUUAUUUGUAAAAUUUAGUUCUUUACUUGGAGGCAUAAUCUUGGUUUUAGGGUAAUAAGGGUAGUGAAAAUUUGCCGGAACAUCCGAAAUCGGCAUCACCUGCUAAUUCACGGGCAGUAAUGUCAGAAGCGCCCAUGGAUCCUGGUUCACUAAAUGGGGUGAAAAAGGGCCUCGAUUCUAGUACUUUGGAUGAUAAUGAGGAAGCAAAACUACAGGAAUCACCAGUGUACGGUUCACCAAAAGAAGAAGAGAAGGGGCACAUAAAAUCCUCG